CCCCUAGAUGUUCUGGGCCGCACGCGCGCUACACUGAACAGUUCAACAAGUCUUAACCUUGGCCGAUAGGUCUGGGUAAUCUUUGAACGCUGUUCGUGAUUGGGAUAGACCUUUGCAAUUAUGGGUCUUCAACGAGGAAUUCCUAGUAAACGCAAGUCAUCAGCUUGCAUUGAUUACGUCCCUGCCCUUUGUACACACCGCCCGUCGCACCUACCGAUUGAAUGGUCCGGUGAAAUCUCGGGACGGCGGCUUGGUCGCUUGCGUCCGACUGCUGAAACUUGAUUAAACCAUAUCAUUUAGAGGAAAGUGAAGUCGUAACA
rnacentral:rRNA from 1 species